GUGGAUACUCAAGCGUGAGGUAAGGGCAUUUGGUGGAUGCCUUGGCAUGUACAGGCGAUGAAGGACGUGGCACGCUGCGAUAAGCGUCGGGGAGCUGUGAGCAAGCUUUGAUCCGACGAUUUCCGAAUGGGGAAACCCACCUUCACCAAUUAAUUUCGCUACCGAGUGAUCGGUCGCGGAGUUAAUUGGGGCGAGGUAUCACCGAAGUGAAUACAUAGCUUUGGUGAAGCGAACCCGGAGAACUGAAACAUCUCAGUACCCGGAGGAAAAGACAUCAACCGAGAUUCCGUAAGUAGUGGCGAGCGAAAGCGGACCAGGCCAGUGCCUGAUUUGAAACGAGCAGAACGCGUUGGAAAGCGCGGCCAGAGCGGGUGACAGCCCCGUAUGCGGAGCGAAAAAUCAGGCCUCGAGUAGGGCGGGACACGUGUAAUCCUGUCUGAACAUGGGGGGACCACCCUCCAAGCCUAAAUACUCGUACAUGACCGAUAGCGAACAAGUACCGUGAGGGAAAGGUGAAAAGCACCCCGAUGAGGGGAGUGAAACAGUACCUGAAACCGAAUGCCUACAAGCAGUCGGAGCCACUUAAGUGGUGACGGCGUACCUCUUGCAUAAUGGGUCAGUGACUUAAUGUAUCGAGCAAGCUUAAGCCGAUAGGUGUAGGCGCAGCGAAAGCGAGUCUGAAUAGGGCGACUGAGUUCGAUGUAUUAGACCCGAAACCCGGCGAUCUAGGCAUGACCAGGAUGAAGGUGGGGUAACACCCACUGGAGGUCCGAACCGAUUACUGUUGAAAAAGUACCGGAUGAGUUGUGUUUAGGGGUGAAAGGCCAAUCAAGCCGGGAAAUAGCUGGUUCUCCGCGAAAACUAUUGAGGUAGUGCCUCGAGUAUUACCGUGGGGGGUAGAGCACUGGAUGGAUGCGGGGGUCGCGAGAUCUACCAAUUCUAACCAAACUCCGAAUACCCAUGAGUACAGCUCGGGAGACAGACGGCGGGUGCUAAGGUCCGUCGUCAAAAGGGAAACAGCCCUAACCUACAGCUAAGGUCCCUAAGUCACGUCUAAGUGGGAAAGCAUGUGGGAUUUCCAAAACAACCAGGAGGUUGGCUUAGAAGCAGCCAUCCUUUAAAGAAAGCGUAACAGCUCACUGGUCUAAAUAAGAGAUCCUGCGGCGAAGAUGUAACGGGGCUCAAGACGUGCACCGAAGCUUAGGGUGUGCCAUUGGCACGCGGUAGCGGAGCGUUCCGUAGGCCUGCGAAGCGGAAGGGUAACCGACCGUGGAGGUAUCGGAAGUGCGAAUGCUGACAUGAGUAGCGAUAAACAGGGUGAGAUGCCCUGUCGCCGAAAGACCAAGGGUUCCUGCGCAAGGCUAAUCCGCGCAGGGUGAGCCGGCCCCUAAGACGAGCCCGAAGGGGGUAGUCGAUGGGAAUGCGGUUAAUAUUCCGCAGCCUGGUGGUGUGUGACGGAUGUCGUAAGUGGUUCCGCCUUAUCGGAUUGGCGGGGCUGCGAAGAUGUCCCGGGAAAUAGCCCCACCGUAUAGACCGUACCCGAAACCGACACAGGUGGUCUGGUAGAGUAUACCAAGGCGCUUGAGUGAAGUAUCCUGAAGGAACUCGGCAAAUUGCCUCCGUACCUUCGGAAGAAGGAGGCCCUGCAUAAGCGCAAGCUCUUGCAGGGGGCACAGGCCAGGGGGUAGCGACUGUUUAGCAAAAACACAGGGCUCUGCUAAGUCGGCUUCAAGACGACGUAUAGGGUCUGACGCCUGCCCGGUGCCGGAAGGUUAAGAGGAGGGGUGCAAGCUCCGAAUUGAAGCCCCGGUAAACGGCGGCCGUAACUAUA
rnacentral:rRNA from 1 species